UAAACAGAGKCUGUCAAACACACAACCCAGUCCGCCAGAGAACUACGAACGAAAAGUUUAAAACUCAAAGGAUUUGGCGGUACCCCAUUCCGGUCUAGAGGAGCCUGUCCUAUAAUCGAUACCCCACGCUAAACCCAACCACCCCUUGCAGUUCAGCCUAUAUACCGCCGUCGCCAGUCUACCUUAUGAAAGAAACAAAGUAGACAAAAUAGUUAUCAACUAAUACGUCAGGUCAAGGUGUAGCCUACGAGGUGGAAGAGAUGGGCUACAUUUUCUCCAUUAGAAAACACGAACGGCACCGUGAAAUAGAUGCCUAAAGGCGGAUUUAGCAGUAAGAUAAACAAGACAUCUUAUCUUAAACACGCUCUGGGGUGCGCACACACCGCCCGU
rnacentral:rRNA from 1 species